rnacentral:tmRNA from 3 species
GGGGAUGUAUUGUCUCGACAGGAUUGCUCUUUAAAAACUGCAAGCAGAAUAGGAAACAUUAUUCUUUAAAUAUUGUUUCAAAACACAAACGGCAUUAAAAAUACCGUUGCUGACGCUGCAAAAAGCGUAGGUUUCAUUUUCGGGGUUACACCUGGAUAUGGACGCCUCGCUCUCGCUGCUUAAGCUACUUUAGUCAAAAUCCUCUUUUUGACGGGACACUAGGGUAAGUACAAAGUCAGAAUGCUGUUAAUACGGUGUUGGUUGAUCCUUAUUAACAAAAGACAAUUCAAUCAUUCAUUAGUUUUCCUGCUGAUUGGUUACAACUCAUGAACAAAAAUUAAUUAGCUAAGCUUGUAGAAGUUUUUUUAGAAACAAUUUUGGACUCGGCUUCACCGCCGACAUCUCCACCA